rnacentral:rRNA from 1 species
AUUGAACGCUGGCGGCAUGCUUUACACAUGCAAGUCGAACGGUAACAGGGUGCUUGCACCGCUGACGAGUGGCGAACGGGUGAGUAAUGCGUCGGAACGUGCCGAGUAGUGGGGGAUAACGCAGCGAAAGUUGUGCUAAUACCGCAUACGUACUGAGGUAGAAAGUGGGGGACCUUCGGGCCUCACGCUAUUCGAGCGGCCGGCGUCUGAUUAGCUAGUAGGUGAGGUAAAGGCUCACCUAGGCGACGAUCAGUAGCGGGUCUGAGAGGAUGAUCCGCCACACUGGGACUGAGACACGGCCCAGACUCCUACGGGAGGCAGCAGUGGGGAAUUUUGGACAAUGGGCGAAAGCCUGAUCCAGCCAUGCCGCGUGUCUGAAGAAGGCCUUCGGGUUGUAAAGGACUUUUGUCAGGGAGGAAAUCCCUAGUGCUAAUAACACUGGGGAAUGACAGUACCGUAAGAAUAAGCACCGGCUAACUACGUGCCAGCCGCCGCCGUAA